GGAACCAGAACCUUGGUGAUGUGACUCUUCUCUCCUGCUGAAGCCAUGCCCACACAAGGGAAAGUGACUUAUCACUGGGCCCAGCACACAGUCUUUUCCCACAGGGAGCAUUGUGAAACAUCACUGGGCUCAGCCACCAGGUUAUGUGACUCUUCUGCCUGUGCCCUGCUUCCAGAAAAUAUUGUGACAUCCCUCAUACAACAUCCAGGUGAUGUGACUCUUCUGCUCAUUUUCUACUUAC
rnacentral:lncRNA from 1 species